UGCUGUACAUUGUUCUUCUCUCUACUUCUUACAUUCUCUGCUCAUUUGGUUCCUCUUUGCACAAUUAUUAUUGUUGCCUAUUGUUUGCAACAGGUAUGUCACUCCUUUAUGAUAUGGUUUCCACCACAACAUGUUGCUAUUAAUUUUACAUUUCAUAAUGUUUCUUGUGUGCUUUCACUUAUGGUUUUGUUGCUCUUUCUGUCACUAGCAUGUCAUCCACUAAUCUAUUUUGUCAGCUUAGUAUGCUCCUUUACCCCCUCCCUGUCUCCCUUGUGCAUUACUACCAUGUGUCCAUGUCAGCCUGACUACUUGGUUAACCUAAAAUCUCUACUUAAAGAUAAGUGUAUUAGAGUAAGAAAUGAACUCUCGUUUUACAACUAUGUCUAGUUACUUUCUACCAAUGUGUUGCCUGUGUAAUUAGUUUGUUUUGCUUAUUUGUUACCUUCCCCUUGUCCUUGGUCGUGUGAUGCUCUGUUGGUUUCAAAACUUGUCAGUAUAAAUGUUUUCAGAAGAAUUUUUGUAACUCGUCCAACUGUUUUCUUAAACUCUCUGAACUUCUCUUAAACUACUUUCUCAAACUGUUUCUGAACUCUUUUUCUUAAACUGACUCUCAAUUGUUUUAAAUUCCUAUCCCAACUACAAUACUCCUAGAACCCUAGGUUCUGCCCCCUUGGUGUAAGCACUGCCAUGGGAGCCUUGAGCACCUAUGGAACUCUGAGCCUUGAGCACCCAUGGAACUCUGAGA
rnacentral:lncRNA from 1 species